GUUAGGAAGUACUGAUAACUAUACACCACACACACUAAAAAUCCUUAUUUGACUCUGUUGAGUGAAGGGAGAUUUCACUUUAAAGGCAGUGAGGAAGACAUGGAAGAAUUGUUUUUGAGGAAAAUAUUAUUUGAGUUUGCCAUAAUGUAGAGCAAUGCUCUCUGAUAAAGCCCUCCUUCUAUGGUGAUGGAAAUGUUCUAUAUCUGCACUGUCUAAUGUGGAAGCCGCUAACUACAUGUGGCUGUUGAACAAUUGAAAUGUGGCUAGUGUACUGAGGAACUGAAUUUUUAUUUAAUUCAUUUUAAUUCAAUAAAUUUAAACUUAAUGUGGCUGUGGCUACCACAUUGGACAAUGCAGCUCUAGAGAUUUUAUGUCUGAGUGAUUAGGAUAACAUGCCAACAGUACAGUGAACACUUUAAAAGGUAGAUAUUUACAGAAUCUCUCAUAGACCUUUUUUCUUCUUUUCUUUUUUCCUAUUUGAACUUGUUUUGUUAGUUGGCUCCUACCCAGAGAUUCUACCCAGUGAAACUCCCACAGCAACGCAGGUAGAUGGGGCUGACCUGGCCUCUCCAAUGUCUCCUCGAACUAGCAAAAGCCGCAUGUCCAUGAAGCUGCGUCGUUCCUCUGGCUCAGCCAAUAAAUCCUAAGGAGACAAGCAGCCCAGCAGUGAUCAGCAGUAGCCACCUUAGCACGAACAUAGGGUUAACCCUUUCAGGCCUUCAUGUCUGCCAUAACAUGCAUGUUUCUUCCUGUACAUUUAUUUGAGAAAACACUGGAUUUAAAUAAUUUUAAAUAAUUUGUAGCUUAAUAUUAAAGAUUUAAGUUAUUUAUUGUUUCAUUUUUUUUCCCACAAUCCAAGCUGCCAUAUUUUGAGGGCAGGGGGAGUUUUAUUCUACACCCUUUACCUUCCUAGAUAAUUAUGUCUAAGUAGUUUUAUCUUUAAUUUCAUGGUUAACUGUGAGCCAAAAUACAAUUGGACAAUUAGUCUCAUUAUUUAUUGUGCCCCAUUGCAACUUUAUGGUUCAAUAA
rnacentral:lncRNA from 10 species